rfam:Myotis davidii contig111039, whole genome shotgun sequence.
GGUGGUUCUUGGGUGACGCACCCCAGAAUUGGGCUCCCUCCUCUCUGGUUCCGGGUGCGUCAUCACCUGAGAACUACA